UGUAUCACUGAUGAUAGUUUGGCUCCCUCUACUGAAUAAUAUGAGGAGACUGCCAUCGUUACCCAAUUUCUGUCUGAGAUACA
ensembl:snoRNA SNORD100 small nucleolar RNA, C/D box 100